AUUGAACGCUGGCGGCAGGCCUAACACAUGCAAGUCGAACGAGUGGCGGACGGGUGAGUAAUGUCUGGGAAACUGCCUGAUGGAGGGGGAUGACUACUGGAAACGGUAGCUAAUAACGCAUAACAUCAGAUGGGCCCAGAUGGGUUUAGCUAGUUGGUGGGGUAAAGGCUAACCAAGGCGACGAUCCCUAGCUUGUCUGAGCUUAGGACCACCCACACUGGAACGUAGACACGGUCCACACUCCUACGGGAGGCAGCAGGGGGGAAUAUUGCACAAGGGGCGCAAGCCUGAUGCAGCCAUGUCGCGUGUAUGAAGAAGGCCUUCGGGUUGGAAAGUACUUUCAGCGGGGAGGCGUUACCCUCAGAAGAAGCACCGGCUAACUCCGUGCUAGCCGCCGCGGUAAUUC
rnacentral:rRNA from 1 species